UACAGAGGGGGCAAGCGUUGUUCGGAAUUACUGGGCGUAAAGGGCGCGUAGGCGGCCUUCUAAGUCGAACGUGAAAUCCCUGGGCUCAACCCAGGAACUGCGUCCGAUACUGGAAGGCUUGAAUCCGGGAGAGGGAUGCGGAAUUCCAGGUGUAGCGGUGAAAUGACGUAGAUAUCUGGAGGAACACCGGUGGCGAAGGCGGCAAUCCUGGACCGGCAUUGACGCUGAGGCGCGAAAGCG
rnacentral:rRNA from 1 species